GACGAACUGUCCAAACGUUGUUCGGAAUCACUGGGCUUAAAGGGCGCGUAGGCGGUCGGACAAGUCGGGGGUGAAAUCCUGCAGCUCAACUGUAGAAGUGCCUUCGAUACUGUUCGUCUGGAGGGAGAUAGGGGUGUGCGGAACUUCCAGUGGAGCGGUGAAACGCGUUGAUAUUGGAAGGAACGCCGGAGGCGAAAGCGGCGCACUGGAUCUCUUCUGACGCUGAGGCGCGAAAGCUAUGGGAGCAAACGGG
rnacentral:rRNA from 1 species